AGCUUUGCACAGUGGCAGUAUCGUAGCCAAUGAGGUUUAUCCAAGGCUCGAUUAUUGCUAAUUAAAGUUUAGUGAUAAAAAUAUGUGAAUUUAAAAUGUCAAGAUUGAGGCCACAUUUGUAAAAUGUGUACUUUUUUCCCAAUGAAUUUUGGCAAAUAUAGAACAUAUA
rnacentral:snRNA from 1 species